UACGAAGGGGGCUAGCGUUGUUCGGAAUCACUGGGCGUAAAGCGUACGUAGGCGGAUUGUUAAGUCAGGGGUGAAAUCCCGAGGCUCAACCUCGGAACUGCCUUUGAUACUGGCUGUCUUGAGUCCGGGAGAGGUGAGUGGAACUCCUAGUGUAGAGGUGAAAUUCGUAGAUAUUAGGAAGAACACCAGUGGCAAAGGCGGCUCACUGGCCCGGAACUGACGCUGAUGUACGAAAGCGUGGGGAGCAAACAGG
rnacentral:rRNA from 1 species